AUUUACAUACAUGUAAGCCUCAAUAUCCAAAAGGCACCAGAUCCCGUCUGGUCUUAGAAGCUAAGCAGGUUCAGCUUUGGUUCAUACUUGCAUGAGAGAACACCAAUGAAUACUAGGGUUUGUAAGGC
rfam:Anolis carolinensis chromosome 4, whole genome shotgun sequence.